rnacentral:rRNA from 1 species
UACGUAGGGUGCGAGCGUUAAUCGGAAUUACUGGGCGUAAAGCGUGCGCAGGCGGUUUUGUAAGUCAGAUGUGAAAUCCCCGGGCUCAACCUGGGAACUGCGUUUGAAACUACAAGGCUAGAGUGUAGCAGAGGGGGGUGGAAUUCCACGUGUAGCAGUGAAAUGCGUAGAGAUGUGGAGGAACACCGAUGGCGAAGACAGCCCCCUGGGUUAACACUGACGCUCAGGCACGAAAGCGUGGGGAGCAAACAGG